AGAUUGAACGCUGGCGGCAGGCCUAACACAUGCAAGUCGAGCGGUAGAGAGGUGCUUGCAUCUCUUGAGAGCGGCGGACGGGUGAGUAAUGCCUAGGAAUCUGCCUAGUGGUGGGGGAUAACGUUCGGAAACGGACGCUAAUACCGCAUACGUCCUACGGGAGAAAGCGGGGGACCUUCGGGCCUCGCGCCAUUAGAUGAGCCUAGGUCGGAUUAGCUAGUUGGUGAGGUAAUGGCUCACCAAGGCGACGAUCCGUAACUGGUCUGAGAGGAUGAUCAGUCACACUGGAACUGAGACACGGUCCAGACCUCCGUACGGGAGCAGCAGGUAGGGAAUUAGUGGACAAGUGGGCGACAAGCCUGACUCCAGCCAAGUACCGCGGUUGGGUAGAAGGAACGGUCCGUUUACGGGUUAGUAAACGUCCCGUUUUUUAGGUA
rnacentral:rRNA from 1 species